rnacentral:rRNA from 1 species
GACGAACGCUGGCGGCGUGCUUAACACAUGCAAGUCGAACGGAAAGGCCCUGCUUUUGUGGGGUGCUCGAGUGGCGAACGGGUGAGUAACACGCGAGUAACCUGCCCUUGACUUUGGGAUAACUUUAGGAAACUGGGGCGAAUACCGGAUAGGAGCUCCUGCUGCACGGGGGUGAUUGGAAAGUGUCGGCGGUGGUGGAUGGACUCGCGGCUUAUGAGCUUGUUGGGGGAGUAGUGGCGUACCAGGGCUUUGACGGGUAGCCGGCCUGAGAGGGUGGCCGGCGACCUUGGGCCUGAGAUACGGAGCAGACUCGUACCGGCGGCAGCAGUCGGGAGUCUUGCACAAUGGCCCGGCGCCAGAUGCAGCAACGCCGCGUGCGUAAUGCCGGCUUUCGGGUUGUAAACCGCUUUCGACUGUGCUGAAGCGUGCGUGACGGUACUUGGUCAAGAAGCCACGGCUAACUACGUG